UGGGGAAUUUUGGACAAUGGGCGCAAGCCUGAUCCAGCCAUGCCGCGUGCGGGAAGAAGGCCUUCGGGUUGUAAACCGCUUUUGUCAGGGAAGAAAUCUUCUGAGUUAAUACCUCGGGAGGAUGACAGUACCUGAAGAAUAAGCACCGGCUAACUACGUGCCAGCAGCCGCGGUAAUACGUAGGGUGCAAGCGUUAAUCGGAAUCACUGGGCGUAAAGCGUGCGCAGGCGGUUUUGUAAGACAGAGGUGAAAUCCCCGGGCUCAACCUGGGAACUGCCUUUGUGACUGCAAGGCUUGAGUGCGGCAGAGGGGGGAUGGAAUUCCGCGUGUAGCAGUGAAAUGCGUAGAUAUGCGGAGGAACACCGAUGGCGAAGGCAAUCCCCUGGGCCUGCACUGACGCUCAUGCACGAAAGCGUGGGGAGCAAACAGGAUUAGAUACCCUGGUAGUCCACGCCCUAAACGAUGUCAACUGGUUGUUGGGAAGGUUCCUUCUCAGUAACGUAGCUAACGCGUGAAGUUGACCGCCUGGGGAGUACGGCCGCAAGGUU
rnacentral:rRNA from 1 species